ensembl:lncRNA
UAUAUAUAUAUAUAUCCCCAGACAAAGUACCUCAAAGACAAAACUCACUUUGUUAUUAUUUAUUUCUAAGCACUACAGUCCACGUGCAUGUCCAGAUUUAAAUUACAGGAAGACUUCAGUAACUGUGACUGGUGACUAAAAAUAAAUAAAAAUAAAAAAUAAAUAAAUCACAUGUAUUGAAAUAUGCCCAGCAAAUAAGACAGUCCUGGGCACAUGGUUUGAAACAGAAGUGUAAGAAAAACAUUAUCCAUCCUUAUAAUGGUGGAUUUCAAGCACAAGUUAUAAUUAAAUUUGAAGCCGUGUGGCAUUUGUGCACUGACUUAUGGCAGAAUUUUGUAUGUGGUUACUUAUGAAGAUAUACUCUAAAUCACUACAGUUUUGUCCUUUCCCUGUUUUUUAUUUUUAUUUCCUUUUUUAUCAGGUUUUGGCCCAAAUAAAAAGUAGGUGCAAUAGAGUUUUCUUUCAAACGAAUAGCAUUAUGAAAGCACAGAAAUCACUUGUCACAUUUUUCCACACAUGAAACGUCCAACUUAAAUUGCACCAACUCUUUAGGACCAUUUGUGAUGUGUGUAUAGAAAGUGAACUUUGUAAUCUGGGUUUAUGAACUGAGGCAUUUGGAUGAAGUGAACCUAUUACUGCACCAUGUUAUCUUCUAAAGGGGAGUUGUGCUCAUCUGUGCAUGGCCAGAGUCCACACCUUUACCAUGGAUGAGUGAAUUGGUGCAAAUUUGUUUUAAAAAAUGGCACCCAAACAAGUCUUUAAAAAAAUAAUGUAUUGUUCCUCUCCUACAUGAUUCCUUGUGGAGGACCAAAUCAAAUUAAACUCCAUGUAAUGUAAAGUAAUUGUUGCUUCAUGUUUUUCUUUAUGGAUAUUGUGUGUUCAUAUUUAAGACUUACAACAAUAAAAUGUUGUAGCUAAACAGAACAUGCUUUAGUGGUUUAAUUGUAUUGUUUUUUGUUUUGUUGUUUUUUUUGUUGUUGUUUUUUCCAGAGUGGAAUGUUAGAUUAGUAUUAAUGCACCAAAAUGCAAAUUUAAGUCCAAUUUCAGUAAACAUGCAAUUUCAGUAAACAAAUGAAACUGAACUGCAAAAUUCCAAGUUAAAAUCAAAGUUGAAAAAAAAAAAAAAUAAAAAAUUAAACCUGCCUCUUUCUAACAGGCUUGUUUUAUUUAAAUGAUCAUUUUAAAAACUCAUUCUUACUAAAACUCAUUCUUAUUACCAACAUGCUAUACAUGUUUUACUGUAUGCUAUCACUUUACUUAGCUGAGAAAAAGAUGAAAAAUGACAGAUUAUUCUCACAGAUUAACACUUUAAGCAUUCACAGUCAGUACAUACUUAAAGUCACUUUUCAUUGUUUCACUUUUUUCACAUUUAAUUUGAAUGUUUUUCAUUAAAAAAUCCAUUAUUAGGCAUACAGUACAUAUUUGGUAGCUGAAGAUUCAGUGCAGCCUUGAGAUGAUUGGUUAAGUGUUCAAUAUUGAAACUAGAAAAAAAGGUUCUUAGGAGUUGAAUUCUUUUUUUUAUUAUUCAUUGUAACAUUGUAAUUUUAAAAUCUCAAAAUAAAUUUAAGCUGCAAGCAGCGAUGAACAGGCCCUCGCAGCUGGGUGCACGUUGGGGCUGCUCUGCUAGGGGAAUGCCAUAAAAAAUUUUUUAGCACUUUUUAGCAUAUCGUUAUUAGGUGUGUAUCAAGAUGUAAACUGUAUCAUUUCCUGUUGCCAGCAGUGGCGCUAUGACUAAUACUGAAUCUUGGCAUGUAGAUGUCUUCAGGCCUGGACUUGAUGUUGCCUUGUGUACUGGAUUUGUCUGCCUGCCUCUCUUAAUAUAUAAAGCUUAUACUGCGACUGCAUUCAUCUGCCCGCCCCUUAUCUGACACCAGCUAAUCAGCUACUUACUCAUUUGUACCAGACAGCACUAGAUUUAUAUGAACACUCUGAGAGUGCAGGAAUGCUAAACACACAUGACCUGGAGAGAUAUGUUACACACAACAUGGCUGAGGUUAUGCUUUAUUUUUUUACAUAACCAUUUAAAUCUUGUGUUAACUCUGCCAUAUUCUAAUGGUGCAUUAUGUGUAUUAAAAGGAUCCCUCAUGAGAAAAUAUAGAUGGUCAUGUCUUGUUAUUGGUGAUUUUGUAUUUCCAAUUUCAUUUUUAUUGAACAUUUCUGCUGAAAAUUUCUGCUGUACAUUUCUGCUGAACAUUUCUGCUGAACAUUUCUGUUGAACAUUUCUGCUGAACAUUUCUGUUGAACAUUUCUGCUAAACUAAACAUUUCUGCUGAACAUUUCUUCUGAACAUUUCUGCUGAACAUUUCUGCUGAACUAAACAUUUCUGCUGAACAUUUCUGCUGAACUAAACAUUUCUGCUGAAUAUUUCUGCUGCACUAAAAAUUUCUGCUGAAAAUUUCUGUUGAACAUUUCUGCUGAACAUUUCUGCUGAACUAAAAAUUUCUGCUGAACAUUUCUGUUGAACAUUUCUGUUGAACAUUUCUGCUGAACAUUUCUGCUGAACUAAAAAUUUCUGUUGAACAUUUCUGCUGAACAUUUCUGCUGAACUAAAAAUUUCUGCUGAACAUUUCUGUUGAACAUUUCUGUUGAACAUUUCUGCUGAACAUUUCUGCUGAACUAAAAAUUUCUGCUGAACAUUUCUGUUGAACAUUUCUGCUGAACAUUUCUGUUGAACUAAACAUUUCUGCUGAACAUUUCUGCUAAACAUUUCUGCUGAACAUUUCUGUUGAACAUUUCUGCUGAACUAAACAUUUCUGCUGAACUAUACAUUUCUGCUGAACAAUUCUGCUGGACAUUUCUGCUGAACAUUGUUGAUUUUGUAAGGUUUUGUAAGGAUUUAUUGUUCUGAGAUGUUAUAGUGUGUGUCUCUUAAUAAUGUGAUUUUUCACAUCUGAUGUAUAAAAAAGGUCAUAUUGAUUCACUCAAGAUUAGGGUUUAUUUUUCAAAAAUUUGGUGCAUUGUAAUAGGUGGUCUGCAUUUGUCAGUCUUUACACCCAUGGAUUAUAUGCAUUAAAUACUGAUGUUCUAAAUAAAUGAAAUCGACUGCACAGGUAUUUUGUGAAGCUAUUUCUAGGUUGCUUAGAGCUGAAAGCUAUGGAUUAAACAAAGAUAAAACUUCCUAAUUAGUGUCUAUAACACUGAAAAGUCACAGCGCUCUUCACUACAAUGCACACAUGAACAGCCUUAACAGACAUGACUUAUGGGAAGAAAUAGUACAUGUGUUAAGUAGUGAGGCUCAACCAAGAUGUGAUUUCUGAUCAGAAACAAACGAAAAGCCAUCUGGGAGUGAGAAAAGGAAGGAGGCAGCUGUCUUACUAAUUAAAGACCUCAGUUUCACUCGGAUAAAGUGGCUUUAAACACAGCCUUCUUUCUGGCUUGGCUGAUUGUUCGACACAGACAAACGUCUGGAGCAGUUUUAGAGGAGACAUGCGAAUUACAUUCACGGUGUGUUCUCUUGUUCAGCUACGUAAAAGGCACACAUCAAAAUAUUUCUGAGUUGGAGCCCAGUGAGGGUGGAAGAAAGGAAUUUCUUCUGAAAGAAAAAGCUAGGUAUAGGUGUAUUUUUACUUACUGCUUUGCAUAUUAGAGAAUAAAAGUGAACACACCACACACAUAUGCUUUUCAUACUGAUAAAUCCAAGGUUUGUGACUAAACAACCUGGCAGGGAGAAGUAGAAGUUGCUCAGGAGGAAAAUAUCACUGAAAAGCAGCUGGUAAAUAUUCAAAUGCUUAAAGAGACACCAGGGGGAAACUAUAAAUCUAAUAAAUCAUAUCAUAAUAAAUUAUGUGACAGCCAUGUGUCUUCAGUCUCCACCCUGAGUGAUUAUUACAAACACAAAAGGGAGAAACGAGGGAGCC